UAAAAAUGAUUGGUACAAGUGUUAAAUAAAUAUUUGUUAUUAAAUAGAUUUUUAUUAUAGUUAUUAUUGUCAUUAUAUAUAUAUAUAUAAAAGAAACAAAAGAAUAAAAAGAGGAAAGAAACAGAAUAGCAGGGGACGAAACAGAGAAGGGAGAAAGGAAGAAAAGAAAAAGGGAAAAAUAAGGUUUUAAAGGUUCUAAGUUAAUUUGCUAAUGUUGUCUCGGGAAACCUCGGCUAAGCAAGGAAAAAAAAUGGCAAAGACAAAGGGAGUUAGCUCGAGAAAAUACGGUUAAGUAAAGAUAGUACGUUGAAUCAACAUCCCAGUCCGAUCCCAAAUUCAUUAAGGUAAAGUGUGUUAAUUAUUGGUAAUGGCAUGUACCUAGGAUGUCUUAUGUGUAUGUCAUUUUGAAAUUGUAAAUGUAAGGAUAAAAUAAAUAAAUUUAGAUAUGGCUAUGGUAUAAAAUAGGAUUUGACUAA